AUUGAACGCUGGCGGCAGGCCUAACACAUGCAAGUCGAGCGAUCGUCGGCCGGGUGUGUAUUGUAUGUUGACUGCCCGAUAUAGGUGGAUAACUACUGUUAACGGUAUCUAAUACCGCCUACUAUCGGAUAACCCAUAUGGUAUUAGCUAGUAGGUGAGGUAAUGGCUCACAUAGGCGACGCUCCAUAUCUGGUCUGAGAGGAUGAUCAGCCACACUGGUACUGAGACACGGCCCAGACUCCUCCGGAGGCAGCAUGGGGUAAUCUUGCACAAUGGGCGCAAGCCUGAGGCAGCCAUGCCGCGUGUAUGAAGAAGGCCCUAGGGUUGUAAAGUACUUUAAGCGGGGAGGCGGUAACAGAAGAAGAAGCAACGGCUAACUCCGUGCCAGCAGCCGCGGUAAUUG
rnacentral:rRNA from 1 species